UGUUAGACGUGUCCGAAAAAAUUAUUUGUAAAAUGAAGAAAAGACUGUUCUAUCGCGUUCGGUUUGUAUCGCCGUGCAAGCAGAUGCAGUUCUGUGAAGUUUGGGAGAUUCCGGAGUGUUUGUUGUAGAGAAAACCGCGUGUGAAACUAUCGGCCUUUGUAAAGAAUUCUGCGUGGCGUGUUCAGUAUGCAUUUACAGAACAUUUUUGGCGAGCAUCUUCAUUUAAGGAAUCCACUGAAAAGGAUCGAGUGUGAAACUCAUUUCGUAGCAGAGUAUUGACUGUAUGAAUCUCGUAACAUUUCGGGUUGGAAUUAGCACAUUUCUGGCUGUCUUGUGUGUGACAUAAGCUGCAUGAACUAGUAGUGGAUGUGCUAUCGACGUAAAUAUGGGCUUGUUGACACAAUAGCUAAAAGACAAUAAAAAACAUUAGUAUCGAUAAGCGGACAUUUUCAAUGAAGGAAGGAAGCAUCCCCUUAUGCCCGUUAUUACUAGAAAUUUGCAGGUUUAUUUUGUUACCUGAGUUACGCGGACUAUGCAAUCGUAAGUAUGGACGAUGGUUUUCUUCAACGCUGCUUUUAACAUCGUCUGUAUAGUACCUACGAAUGCAGAGCAACGGAUGGUGAACGAACGCUAUACUGAGCAGGUGCAAGAGAAUUGUAAAAGAAGCACGUAAAGGCCUGCGAUGCGACGAGUCGUCAAUCACCAAUGGGACAAAACGCGCCUUCCGAGAAACAUAGGUGACGGCGCGUUUACUUUCUCUGACCCAUAAAGCGGCAGCGGCUGGCUACAAAAGUGCGGUGCAGCGCGUACGCUCACAUUCGCUCUCCGCCACUGCAGCUACGCACAACUCCCACCUCACAACAUGGUACGCGCGACGACGUUGCUUAUUUUGGCGCUGGUGGCUGCCGUGCUGUCUAUCUCGUGGGCUGCUGUGGUGGGCCCGUCCAUCGACAUUGGACCUAAACCCAGUCGACCACCUUACCAGCCAGGACCGUGGGUCUACCCCAAGCCCACGACGGCCAGAACUGGACGAUGAUGACUUGGACUUACGCCAAGCCACUCGCCCUUCCAACUUACUCCACUUCCCUACACUCAAUGACUGCAAUCGCAUCACACUGUGCUUGCUUUCACGUCAACUCACAGUUUCAGACGAUAGUCCUGUACAAUGGAUGAAUGCCAACAGAAACAUUUCCAUUUCACUUGCACCAUCACUUCUCAUACGAAUAUUAAAGACUUUUAUUUGUUAGCUUAUGUAAAUAAAAAUAUUGUUUAAUGCUCUUCA